GUGUGAAGGGAGGAGAGCAGUUUAGUUUCCCAAGACAGGAAUGGAAAGCAUAACAGACUAAAACAAAAGUAAGGGUAGUGAUUACUUUUUUUUUUUUUUUUUU
rnacentral:ncRNA from 1 species